GGAGGAGUGGCCGAGUGGACGAAGGCGCCUGUCUUGAAAACAGGUUUACCGAAAGGUAACGGGGGUUCGAAUCCCUCCUCCUCCG
rnacentral:tRNA from 1 species